CAGGAUUGACCUGCGCAUUUUGGUCAACUCGUAGUAGCUGAUAAUCUCGACAUUUACGGUGUACACGUGUUUACUUGCAGUCGAUGUUGAUUGUAAAUCUGCAUAGUGCAAGGACCAGUGUGACGAACUAUUAAAGAGUCUUUCGUUGGCCCAUGGACAUCAUGGAACAAAAUGUCUCCAUCACGAACGGAAUAAUCACAUUCGAUAUGAUGGCAGCAAUGUGUCAUAACAACAGAGGCAUUGGCUACCAGGGUGAUCUGCCAUGGCCAAAAUUGAGGGCCGAUUUUGAGUAUUAUUUAAAGACCACAUCCACACACAAGAAAGACUCCAGUUUGAUGAGUAUACAUGUACAUGGCCGUAAGACUUGGGCGGUGUGUACGGACUUUCAGGCAAGCUAUGGAGGCGUAUAUCACAUCGUCUGUAGUCAGUCACGUGACCCAAGGUUGUCUAAUAAAGUAACACAUUAUCAAAUGUGUUGUCAUAUCGCAAUUCCACACGUGAAUUUCCGUUUGGAGUAACAAGACACACCCGAAUCUCCUGACGGUGGCCGGAAGUGUACCUGAGGCGCUGGAGAACAUCGCAGAUCUGGACCGAAAGGGGAAAGUGGACAGCGUCUGGAUCAUGGGUGGUGCAGGCAUAUACCAGGAGUGUCUGUCUCAUCCGCUCUGUGGACGAAUCUAUCUGACUCACGUGUACAAGGACUUUCCGUCAGACAAAUUUUUCCCUCCUUUUGAUGACAACUUCCGAGAAGUAAAAAACGACGCUACUUCCGAUACCUAUCACGAAGAAGACGGUAUUUCCUUCGAAUUUAAAGUAUACCAGAAUAUAAGGAAAUGCAACACUUCUAUAUAAUUGAUACACUGAUGCCAACUCAGUGUAUUGCUACUAGUGUUUACAAUAUCCUAAAUAAUCAGUUAACGUGCUGAAACUGUAUUUUAUCUUGACUGAGAAGUUGCAAAUAAGCGUUAUUUAAAGGAGAGAAAACCCAUGAGCUUUCAUCUGUAAAACUGGGCUUAAUGUAUGUGCGCAAUCUUCUCAGGCUUAUCAUGGCACACACGGUCAGCUUUGAUGAAACUUUUCUUUAAAAUGAAGUCUCGUGUUAACGACAACCGUUUUCAAGCGGAAAGCGUCACCCAUGGUUAGUCUUUUCGGACUACACAGGCUAAUCUGGGAGAACACUUUCUGCACACACAAUGUCUUAUGUAUGAUACAUUCAGUUCGGUUUCGUCAGAACGUAUAUUUGAUUGUGAGGCAGAGAAAUAUAAUAUUUCAUUUCUGAACAUAAACUAUGCUAUCAUUGUUAAGAAUAUGUGCUUUUUACGUAAAUUUGUUGGUUUAUACCUAAGUGUAUGCUGCGAAGUCGUUUGCGAAUUUACAGACCAUUGACACAUGCCUUCAAUAGCGUUCCACACAAUAACAAAAAAACUGUUGUUUUUUUAAACUAAGCAAUAUUAUUAGUUGUGUUUGUUUUAGCAACUGUAUGUUGAUGUUUGU